CAUCUUUGCUGGUUUCAUAGCGAGACUCCAUUCAGAUAUCAUUGCCAACAUGUGCAGUUUCCUUGGUGUCUUUAUCAUGGGUCUUUUAGCCAUGGCAUGCUACACUGAAGGAUCAUUCCUUACAAAACUCUAUUUAUUGUAUAGAAAACUUCAUUUAAUUAGCGAAUCAAGAUUAAAAAUGAAAACAAAGAUGAAGAUACUGGAAGUUAUGGACAGAAUAAUUGGACCAUACAAUGGAGUAAAAGCAGGAGAUUUG